rnacentral:misc_RNA from 1 species
AAGUCGUAACAAGGUAACCGUAGGUGAACCUGCGGUUGGAUCAUUAAGGAAUAUAUGUAGAUUUGGAAAUUAAUUUUUCCAACUUCUCACAUUCCACUCAUGUGCACCGUUUUUUCCAUUACUACUGUUUGGGUAUUUUUUUUUACUCUUCAGUUGUAAAUGUAAUACACCUUUUUUUUAAAUUUUGUCUUAAAACUUUUUUUUUUUUCUUUCAUUAGAAAAAAAAAAUUUUUUAAAAAAUAUUUUAAAAAACAACUUUUGACAACGGAUCUCUUGGCUCUC